rnacentral:tRNA from 1 species
GCGGUUAUGGUGAAGUGGUUUAACACACCGGAUUGUGGUUCCGGCAUGCGUGGGUUCGAACCCCACUAACCGCCCCA